UACGUAGGGGGCAAGCGUUGUCCGGAAUCAUUGGGCGUAAAGAGCGUGUAGGCGGUUCGGUAAGUCGGCUGUGAAAGUCCAGGGCUCAACCCCUGGGAUGCCGGUCGAUACUGCCGGACUAGAGUUCGGAAGAGGCGAGUGGAAUUCCCGGUGUAGCGGUGAAAUGCGCAGAUAUCGGGAGGAACACCUAUGGCGAAGGCAGCUCGCUGGGACGUUACUGACGCUGGAGACGCGAAAGCGUGGGGAGCAAACAGG
rnacentral:rRNA from 1 species